UGCAAGUCGAGCGAGAAAGGGGCUUCGGCUCCGAGUAAAGCGGCGGACGGGUGCGUAACACGUGGAUAAUCUGCCUCGUGGCGGGGGACAACAGUCCGAAAGGACUGCUAAUACCGCAUGUCAGGUCGGAAACUCCGGUUUCUGACGAAAAAGAGAGCGCCCGCAAGGGGGCUCUCACCACGAGAUGAGUCCGCGUCCCAUCAGCUAGUUGGCGGUGUAAUAGACCACCAAGGCUUAGACGGGUAGCUGGUCUGAGAGGAUGACCAGCCACACUGGGACUGAGACACGGCCCAGACUCCUACGGGAGGCAGCAGUGGGGAAUAUUGGACAAUGGGCGAAAGCCUGAUCCAGCCAUGCCGCGUGAGUGAUGAAGGCCUUCGGGUCGUAAAGCUCUGUGGGGAGGGACGAAAAAGCGUGACCUAAUACGUCUCGCCUUGACGGUACCUCCUUAGCAAGCACCGGCUAACUCCGUGCCAGCAGCCGCGGUAAUACGGAGGGUGCAAACGUUGCUCGGAAUUAUUGGGCG
rnacentral:rRNA from 1 species